GUGCUUGCUCUGGCAGCACAUACACUAAAAUUGGAGUGAUACAGAGAAGGUUAGCAUGGCCUCUGCACAAGGAUAAUACACAAAUUCAUGAAGCGUUCCAUAUUUUU
rnacentral:snRNA from 1 species